UAACUGUAGUUGUUGUCUGUCCAGGUCAGGGUUUGUCAGAUAUAACUGUAGUUGUUGUCUAUCCAGGUCAGGGUUUGUCAGAUAUAACUGUAGUUGUUGUCUAUCCAGGUCAGGGUUUGUCAGAUAUAACUGUAGUUGUCUGUCCAGGUCAGGGUUUGUCAGAUAUAACUGUAGUUGUUGUCUAUCCAGGUCAGGGUUUGUCAGAUAUAACUGUAGUUGUUGUCUAUCCAGGUCAGGGUUUGUCAGAUAUAACUGUAGUUGUUGUCUGUCCAGGUCAGGGUUUGUCAGAUAUAACUGUAGUUGUUGUCUAUCCAGGUCAGGGUUUGUCAGAUAUAACUGUAGUUGUUGUCUAUCCAGGUCAGGGUUUGUCAGAUAUAACUGUUGUUGUUGUCUGUCCAGGUCAGGGUUUGUCAGAUAUAACUGUAGUUGUUGUCUAUCCAGGUCAGGGUUUGUCAGAUAUAACUGUAGUUGUUGUCUGUCCAGGUCAGGGUUUGUCAGAUAUAACUGUAGUUGUUGUCUGUCCAGGUCAGGGUUUGUCAGAUAUAACUGUAGUUGUUGUCUAUCCAGGUCAGGGUUUGUCAGAUAUAACUGUAGUUGUUGUCUAUCCAGGUCAGGGUUUGUCAGAUAUAACUGUAGUUGUUGUCUAUCCAGGUCAGGGUUUGUCAGAUAUAACUGUAGUUGUUGUCUAUCCAGGUCAGGGUUUGUCAGAUAUAACUGUAGUUGUUGUCUGUCCAG